rnacentral:miRNA from 13 species
UUAUUAGGUUGGUGCAAAAGUAAUUGCGGUCUUUGCAACUGAAAGUAAUGGCAAAAAUCACAAUUAGUUUUGUACCAACUUAAUAUAUGUUUGGAUAUAUAUU